rnacentral:lncRNA from 1 species
UCACGAGUUUAUCAGUUAUUUAAGUGUAUCAAAUUUGAUAUAUUUUUGUAUAUAAUAUUUUAGAAAGAUUUCUAUUUUAUUUUUAACAAUUCUGCAGUUAAAGAAAAAAUGGAAUUCAUCAACUAAGAUGUUACAUAUGUCGCAUUUUCUUAUAUUAGAGAAGAUGAAAAAACAUCUCCUUAAAUUGUCAAGAAUUCACAGAAAAUUUAGAGCACUACUAACAGGAUAUGAAAACUACUCAUAAUGGCUUCUUAUUUAAACAAAAUUAGUUAAUAUUCUAUAUCCACUUCAAACAACAAUGUCCUUACAAAAAACUGUCAUUGGGGUCGAAUGUCCGGAUAAUAAAAUUAUGAUUUAAAUAUCAACUAUAGUCAGACGUUUAACUAGUUAUACACAUAUAAAAUGAAAGACACACACACACACAAAAAGAAAAGGUAAAAUUUGUAAUAUCAUAUAUAAUGAAUACUAUUUUUUCUUUAACUUUAAAAAUAAUAAAAAUAAUAAAAAAAACCUUUUUAAAAUAUCAUAUCGAAAAAUAUGUCAAUUUUGAUACACUAAUAACUGAUUAACUCGCGACUAUACUGAAUCCAUCAACACCAAUUGAUAUAAAACCAGUCUUUUCUUUUUAUUUGUGAAGAGUCAUUAGAACUGAGAAAAUGGCUCCAAUAAAUAUUUUUUUACACGGAUCAGAUUAUUGAUGCUGUAUUGCAAUGACCAAACAUUGGUUUGCGUUUGUUUUUCAAUAAAGAAUUAUUUAUAAACAGAAUAACAACUUGAUAAAUUUCAUGCGUCCGAAGCGCUUAUCUGGAUUUAGUUUCACCAGGUAUGCGCAAUACCGAAUAUUUUAAAGCCAAAGAUGUAUAAGAACCGAAAUAGUUUUAAAACUCUAUAACCAAAAAGGAUUAAAGUAUAAGUUCAAAAACAUAGUUAUUAUUAUUCUUGUUUUAUUUUAAUUUCUUUACAUAUUUAUUGAUAUCCUUGUUUCUUGUCACGAUCCUAGUGUUUAAUUGUAAUACGAUAUUGAAUAUAAUUCAAAACUUUUUCCCUUUUUAGAUCAAAUCAUUUCGUAGAGGUGGCAUUCACACAAAUAGACAUUGUUGUAAAUUGCGUACUUCGUAACAUUUGCUCAUUUCUAGCUUUAUCGAAGGAAAAUUACAUCCUGGUUGCUCAAUAGAAAGUUCUUGUCAUUUGUUUUUGGGGUCAACACCAGAGCUAAAAAAAAUACUAUUAUUAUGUUAUUGAUAACAUAUACAUUUUUGACAAAAAUUAUUGUGAAAGAUAAAUUAAUCUAGAGUUUACUUGGUUACAGAAUCGUAGUAACCUUGAUUUCUCCAAUCCAACACUUGUUACAGUAAAUCCCAUACUAAAAAGAGAUGUAUAUUUGGCUGUGCGGGAUGUGUAAAUACUCAACCACACGUCAAGUUGGAAAGGGAACGUUAAAAUUAAUGCCUAGUUUUGAGAGUUUCACUUAAGAACCAUUGGGUUCCAAAAUUCUUGUCAGCUCGAACAUAACAUUCUUAUUCUUCAAUUCAAAUUUCCUAAAAUUAAUAACCCCCAUGAAGUAUUUGUCUGUGGACGUUAAUCGAAUUAUGGGAUUAAUGUGAUCGCUUACAAUUAAAAUUCUGUAAUAACGAAAUAUUCAUAAAAUACAACAUUGUUCAUUUCAUAUUCUUUGACGUCAGUUGUUUCUGUUAUACAAAUCUUUUUUAAUCAUUACAUGUAGAUAAUUUUUAGUGUCUUGUCAUUAGCACCAAAAAAACCUGACGAAAUGGAGCGUAAAACUUAAUUUACUACACUUAGUCUUUUUAGUAGAACUGUUUAACAUUGUGUUAUAUGUGAAUACGAACUACUAAUUUGUCAACUAUUUGUAAUGAUAUGUGCGGUGAUUAUGUACUGUUUCGAUACGUGACUGAACUAUGCUUUGUGUGGUGUACUGCCGUAUCGAAUUGUACUUUGCGUGAAUUACUUCUGUAUUGAGGGGUGCUUUGCGUGAAGCACUGCUGUUAUGAACGGUGCUUUAAAAUUGUUGUAAAUUACUGCUGUAUUGAACGGUGUGUUUUUGUGUGUGUGUGAUCUACUGCCGUAUUUAAUGACGCCGUGUGUGAAAUUUUCUAUAUUGAGUGGUGCUUAGAGUUAAGUUUUGCUGUUUUGAAAAGUGAUUUGCGUAAAUUACUGUUGUAUUAAGCUGUGCUUUAUGUGAUUUACUGCCUAUUAACCGGUCCUACCAGAGGAGUAUUGAUGUUUUUGAGUGUGCUUUACAUGAAGAACUGUUGUAUUGAAAGGUGUUUUAUGUGAUGUGCUGCUGUGUUGAAUGGUGAUGUGAGUGAUUUACUAAUGUGUUGAAUGUUUUUUGUGCGAACAGUGUUUUCUGUAAAGUACUGCUGUAUUGAACUGUGCUUCGUGUAAAUUACUGCUGUAUUGAACGGGUUUUUUUAAUGAUCAACUGUCGUAUUGAAUGGUGCCGUGGGUGAUGUUCUGCUAUAUUGAGCAGUUCAUACAAACUUCGGUGCAGUAAUGCUGUCAUGAUGGAAUUUUGUUUGAUAUAAUGAUGUUCUGAAAGAUGCAUUGUGUGAUGUUUGGUUAAAUUGGACUGUGGUGUGUGUUAAGUGCAGUUAAUUUUAUUUGUAUGAACUGAUGGGUUUUUUUUUAGAUUUUUUAUGCUUCAUGUGAUUGAGGGCGUAAGCACGAAUGAGUUUGUCUAAUUUACACCAAGAUUUUAUUGUCAAUGCAGAAUGAUGCUUUUCAAUAAUUUAGGGGGGUGGCUUUCAAUAAUUUAGGGGGUGAUGGCGUUUCAAUAAUUUAGGGGGGAUGGCUUUCAGCGAUUUUAUCAUAUUUUUUUAAAAGCAUGAUUAAUGCAUUGUAUCCAAUUUCGUUUAACGACAUAUUUGUGUAAGUGCAAAUGUAAUCGUUCGUUGUUUUAGCUUGUAGCUUGAUGUAAUGUAAUAAAAUAAAAUAUGAAAAUGUUUUAGUUUAUCUUAUCAUCCACUUACUAGUAUAUCUGCUGUUUUAUUUAUCAUGACUUGAACAUUUUUGGCCAAAUUCGUAUGUAAGAAAUUGUCUUUAAAGCAUAUAAAAGGGAAUGGAUGGAGGUUCCUUCAAAAUGAAUUUAGUAUUAUUUAAUUUUUUAAGCCACUUUUCUCUAUUCGUUAUACAUGUUACUGUUAUUCUCUAUAUUUUAUAUUUCAGCACCCC